GUCAGGAUGGCCGAGCGGUCCAAGGCGCUGCGUUCAGGUCGCAGUCCGGUCUUCCGGGCGUGGGUUCGAAUCCCACUCCUGACA
rnacentral:tRNA from 9 species